rnacentral:lncRNA from 1 species
GGGACCUCUGACCUGCAUGCCAGAGAAGGAAAACUUAAAAGCAUCUGUUUCCCCCUGUGCAAUUUUCACACUUCUGUUCCUGGGAGGCUGAAGUUUGGCCCUUGGGGCUGGAAUGGAAGGUUCCAGAUCAGCACCUGAGAUCUCCAUCUGUAUCACCAUCCUCAGCAACUGCUCAGAGGCCCACAGGAAGGUGGGUUCCACAGGAAUCCUUGGUGAGAUCAUGUAAGGUGGCCACGUAAUGGGUGCCUAGGACUGCAGGCUCCGCUGGAUCUGUCUGCAAUAAUUCCUCAGCCCAGUCGUGCUUGGAGGGGAACUUGGCACCAUGUUUCUUGGCCUCUCCAAAUCUGGAUUAUGAUGGAUACCACAAAUACAUAGAUGAAAUGCUUCCAUCUGAAAGCCCUGUACUAUAUAGACUGCACCCCAGUGCUGAGAUGGGAUUCUUGUCAACAUCAGAUAAUCUCUUCAAAUCUCCUUUGGAAAAGCAAGCCAUAUCUCCAUGGGAGAGGGAUCAGGCCAGUCUGCAGUGAAGAGUUCCAGAGCAAGCCUGAGGCGAGAGAAGCUCUUUCUGGGGGUGAGCCAUGUCUGUGCCUGUGCUGUGUUUUGCCUAAUGCCUGAGACAGCAAGGACUGUGGGUGGUGGAGGGGGUGAUGGAAGCUAUUAGGUACUAGAGAAAUACAAACUACUGACUGAAAAAUCAAGUCACACUUGACUGAAAAUCAAGACAAUUCCAGGGUGUAUCCUAGUAACAGCAGUCAUCCCAAGUCCAGGACAACGCAUUAGUAGGCUUCAAGGGUCAAUGUUACCUGAAGAU